rnacentral:rRNA from 1 species
AGAGCGAACGCUGGCGGCAGGCUUAACACAUGCAAGUCGAACGGGCAUAGCAAUAUGUCAGUGGCAGACGGGUGAGUAACGCGUGGGAACGUACCUUUUGGUUCGGAACAACACAGGGAAACUUGUGCUAAUACCGGAUAAGCCCUUACGGGGAAAGAUUUAUCGCCGAAAGAUCGGCCCGCGUCUGAUUAGCUAGUUGGUGAGGUAAUGGCUCACCAAGGCGACGAUCAGUAGCUGGUCUGAGAGGAUGAUCAGCCACAUUUGGACUGAGACACGGCCCAAACUCCUACGGGAGGCAGCAGUGGGGAAUAUUGGACAAUGGGCGAAAGCCUGAUCCAGCCAUGCCGCGUGAGUGAUGAAGGCCCUAGGGUUGUAAAGCUCUUUUGUGCGGGAAGAUAAUGACGGUACCGCAAGAAUAAGCCCGGCUAACUUCGCGCCAGCAGCCGC